UAUGCGUCACAGAGCCUCUGCUCUGGUCCUCUGACCUGCCCUAUUUCCUUGUAAAGGUGAAGACCCACCCUGAGUUCCAGGCCUGCCCACAGACUCAAGGACUAAAGCCUAGAUGCUUCAGUGAAAGUAAGAAGAUCCAGACCCACAGAGAAGACAACCCAUUGAAGAUCACAUUGAUAACAAGUAGCAGGACCCAGAAUGUAAUUCAGGCGUUCUGAUUCCAGCCCUUUUCCCCCUGAGACCCAAAUGAAGAUGUUCCCUGAAUGCAUAAAUUACUGACCAUCUGGGAUCCAAUGACAAUCUGUACAAUUAAUAUGCAAUUUCAGAAAA